GAGGGCGCCCCGACGGUCGCGCCUGCACACGGACGCGCCAUGGACGGGUGGGCGCUGGCGGGGACAAGCGCGGGCCGGGGGAGGGGGCUGGCGGGGGCGGGGGCGGGGCGGGGACUGGGGCUGAGGGGAGGGACUGGGGGGGGGCUGGGGCGGGCCGGGGGCUGGCGCGUGGGGGGGGCGUGGGCCGGGGGGAGGGCGCCCGGGCGGGCGUGGGGGGGCUCAGGGCGGGAAGUGGCCGCGGGUGGGCCGGGUCGCUGGGGUCCGAGCCGAGGGCGGCGCGGGCGGAAGGUGGCCGGGUGGCUGGUCCCGGGGCAGGUGCGGCCGGGCUGAACGCCGCUCGCUCCCCGCAGGGCUGGGCGCCCGCUGCAGGUGGUGGCCCUGCUGGCCUUGCUGCUGACCUUGGACCUGCCUCAGGUGCUGACUAGCAACAGGACCAGACGGCAAGGUGAGGCCGCGCGGGCUCCGUGAAGGGAGGCAGCGCGGGCGGUGGCUGGCCGCGAAUCCCAGGAGCUGCGAGGGCGGGAGGGCGCCUCGCGGUCCCCAGCGGGUCCCCAGCGGGUCCCCAGCGAGCAGCGUGGCCGGGCGGACGCCGUGUGCUCGCAGGCUCCAAGCGGCGCCUGCAAGCAGAGUCAGUGGCCAGAGCGACCUGGCCUCCCCCGAGCGGGUCGGCGCUCCCGCACCGGGCACUCUCCAGCCCGGGCUGGCCUGAGGCCCAGGCCGAGGAGAGUGUGCCAGGAAGGCCGCUCAGUGCGGGGCACGUGAGGACACGCGCACCUGCAUGCGCCCAUUGUGCGUGAGGGCCCCAGUGGGUGACACAUUUAGUGAGUGAGUGCGGGGCCACAGAGGGAGGAGCACUAGGCAGUGAGUGUGGGCCAUGGGGCUGGGAGGACAGAGGGGUUUCUCUGACAGGAGGAGAACUGUGAUGAUCUACUUUUUUUGCUUUGUUCCUCAUUUCAGAGAAUUUGAGAUGCCACGUUUGUGAGAAAGAGAAUGAUUUUGGCUGCACCAAUGAACAGGAAUGUGAAGAAAAUGUCACAUACUGUAAUCUUGUGGCAGUCAGUAAGUGUCUCUGUUCAGGUCCAGGUCCCCCCAGAGCCCUGAAGAGUCUCAGGAAUUAGGAGCCCUCUGGUCUGCCUCCAUAGAGAAAAAUAAGCGAAGCAUGGCCUUUUAAAAAGCCCUCAAGGGCUAGGGGUUGAGUUCAGUGGUGGACGCUUGUCUAGUACGCACAAGUGGCCGGGUUCAGUCCCCAGGAUUGGGACAGCAGCAGUUGAAGAGCAAACAAAGCCUGACAAGUGGUGGGUGCCAGUGAAGCAGCGUUGAAUGGCACGGGGUUAGGGUAGGGUGGCAAACACGGGCAGCUGGUCACAGGGAAAUAUUGGAGUACCAGGAGAAAAUAGUGAUUUUUUAAUUUGCUUUUAAAUGAAAAAUCAGGCUCUAAUGACGACAAGUGCCUCACUGAAAACAGUAUGUCAGAGAUGAGUGAAACAACAGUACAGGCUCACUGCAUGCUCUCCAAAGAGUGUGCAUGCUUUAUGAUGUUUGCAGACCACGUUGCUGACAUCUGUAGUUCACCCAAGAUUCUGGGCACACCAAGAGCUCUCCAAAGCUAAAUCAGAAAACCUGCAACGUUCUUCCCACAGUGGUAUUUUUGGGGCUUGGGGAUUCAGUUUUGGUUCUCAGGUUAUUCCCUGGGGCCUCUGCAUUCCGGGAAGUUUGUGGGGUGAUGAAGCAGUGGUCAGGCAGUUCACUUUAAUGUGGGAAAUGAUGUGCACAAAGGAGAAGACAAGGUCGAGUACUGAGACCGGCGCCUGCCCAGAGCUGGGUCAGGCCCACUCAGGGCCAGCUCCAGCUGUAGGCAAUGCCAGGAUCGCUGGGAAGCCUUCAACCCAAGUGUCUGGACAAACAAAAGGCUUGAGCAAGCCUGUGUUUAAGAGCUGAGGCACAGGAGCGUGUGUGCCACUGGCGCACACGUGGACAGGACAGAGGCAGGCAUUCGAGGCCAUGCUGCACCCAAGCUACCCUCCCUGAAGCAGCUGAGAGGGAAGCUGCCCUUCUUGCAUCUGAGCCAUGGCUCAUGCCUUCCUGCGGGUGCCUUAUUGAGUGGGAGCCUCUGACAAGGGUCCCCAGAGGUGCAGGCUUAGACUUGACAGCCACAAAGGUGCUGGCAUAGGGCUCUGAACUCACUCGAUUUCUUUCUUUUUCUUUCCUGUUAGAAAUAUUGUCACGUUUCUUCUACGUUUCAAAGCAGUGUUCCAUGUUUUGUCCAUAUGUGAUGCCAAUACUCGACCAAAAGUCCUUUUUAAUCGAAAAGCCCAUGCCUUUCUUCUACGUGAACUGCUGUAAGGGCAAUUUAUGCAAUUUGAAUGCACCAAACUUCAAAGGAGAGUCCUUCCGAGAACAGGCUGACAGGGCCAGUGUGAGGAGCCAUAGCCAAGCCAUGCUGACUGUUGUCAUGGCCAGCGCCACCAUCUUUGCAGGCCUUAGCUUGCUGUAAGCUCAGAAGGGCCUGGGCUACGCUUCUGGGACAUAAGCUAACCACAGACUGU
rnacentral:lncRNA from 1 species